GUGCCAGCAGCCGCGGUAAUACGAAGGGUGCAAGCGUUACUCGGAAUUACUGGGCGUAAAGCGUGCGUAGGUGGUUCGUUAAGUCUGUCGUGAAAGCCCCGGGCUCAACCUGGGAAUGGCGAUGGAUACUGGCGGGCUAGAGUGCGGUAGAGGGUGGUGGAAUUCCCGGUGUAGCAGUGAAAUGCGUAGAGAUCGGGAGGAACAUCAGUUGCGAAGGCGGCCACCUGGACCAGCACUGACACUGAGGCACGAAAGCGUGGGGAGCAAACAGGAUUAGAAACCCCCGUAGUCC
rnacentral:rRNA from 1 species